CUCGAGAUAACACAAUGUUUUUGUUUUAUGGUCUCUUAUUGAAUUCUUUGGUCUUCAAUACAUGAUAUACGCGUUAAGUAUUGCUAUCUGCACAUUUGUUGUAUAUACAGAUGUGAAGAAGCAGAACACACAUCUUUCGUGUUGACAAAUUAAUUGAAUAACAAACAAAUUUGAGCAUGAAGGGGGUACAACAGCAAUGAACAUUAUGGAACAAUAAUAUUUGAAUGAAAUCUUUUCUUUUCAUUUCCUGUUUACUUAGGCCUACCUUUUAACUUAGGCACUUCUACAAUCACGCGAGGACUUAAACUUAAGCCUACCUUUUCACUUAGACACUUCUACAAUCACUCGAGGACUUAGGCCUACCUUUUAACUUAGGCACUUCUAGAAUCACGCGAGGACUUAGGCCUACCUUUUCACUUAGGCACUUCUAUAAUAACUCGAA